UACGGGGGGGGUAAGCGUUGUUCGGAAUUACUGGGCGUAAAGGGCUCGUAGGCGGCCCACUAAGUCAGACGUGAAAUCCCUCAGCUUAACUGGGGAACUGCGUCUGAUACUGGAUGGCUUGGAUCCGGGAGAGGGAUGCGGAAUUCCAGGUGUAGCGGUGAAAUGCGUAGAUAUCUGGAGGAACACCGGUGGCGAAGGCGGCAUCCUGGACCAACACUGACGCUGAGGAGCGAAAGCCAGGGGAGCAAACGGG
rnacentral:rRNA from 1 species